rnacentral:rRNA from 1 species
AUUGAACGCUGGCGGCAUGCUUUACACAUGCAAGUCGAACGGUAACAGGCCUUCGGGUGCUGACGAGUGGCGAACGGGUGAGUAAUGCAUCGGAACGUGCCCAGAGGUGGGGGAUAACGCAGCAAAAGCUGUGCUAAUACCGCAUGUGAUCUGAGGAUGAAAGCGGGGGACCAGGCAGCAAUGUUUGGCCUCGCGCCUUUGGAGCGGCCGAUGUCAGAUUAGGUAGUUGGUGGGGUAAAGGCCUACCAAGCCGACGAUCUGUAGCUGGUCUGAGAGGACGACCAGCCACACUGGGACUGAGACACGGCCCAGACUCCUACGGGAGGCAGCAGUGGGGAAUUUUGGACAAUGGGCGCAAGCCUGAUCCAGCAAUGCCGCGUGCGGGAAGAAGGCCUUCGGGUUGUAAACCGCUUUUGUACGGAACGAAAAGGCUCUGGCUAAUACCUGGGGCUGAUGACGGUACCGUAAGAAUAAGCACCGGCUAACUACGUG